rnacentral:rRNA from 1 species
GACAGAGGGUGCAAACGUUGUUCGGAAUUACUGGGCGUAAAGCGCGUGUAGGCGGCUCGGCAAGUCGGGUGUGAAAGCCCUGGGCUUAACCUAGGAAGUGCACUCGAAACUGCCAAGCUUGAGUUCUGGAGAGGAAGGCGGAGUUCUCGGUGUAGAGGUGAAAUUCGUAGAUAUCGAGAGGAACACCGGUGGCGAAGGCGGCCUUCUGGACAGCAACUGACGCUGAGACGCGAAAGCGUGGGGAGCAAACAGG